UACGGAGGGUGCAAGCGUUGUUCGGAAUCACUGGGCGUAAAGCGCGUGUAGGCGGCCUCUUAAGUCUGGUGUGAAAGCCCGGGGCUCACCCCCGGAAGGGCACUGGAUACUGGGAGGCUAGAGUACCGGAGAGGAGGGUGGAAUUCCUGGUGUAGCGGUGAAAUGCGUAGAGAUCAGGAGGAACACCGGUGGCGAAGGCGGCCCUCUGGACGGCUACUGACGAUGAGACGCGAAAGAGUGGGGAGCAAACAGG
rnacentral:rRNA from 1 species